GAUCCUUGGCUCAGGAUGAACGCUAGCGACAGGCUUAACACAUGCAAGUCGAGGGGCAGCGGGGGUAGCGAUACCCGCCGGCGACCGGCGCACGGGUGAGUAACGCGUAUGCAACUUGCCUAUCAGAGGGGGAUAACCCGGCGAAAGUCGGACUAAUACCGCAUGAAGCAGGGAUCCCGCAUGGGAAUAUUUGCUAAAGAUUUAUCGCUGAUAGAUAGGCAUGCGUUCCAUUAGG
rnacentral:rRNA from 1 species